CAGCUGCAUGGGCGAGCUGAUGUGGGAGGCGGAGAGGUUGAGCGGCAGGAGCUGAAUGGCUCAGCGGCAGGUGGCAACCACGUGCAGCAGCACUCUCUUGCUGGUGACGAAGACCAGCAACGCUGCCAUGCGGUGUGCCCUCCUGCUUGGGCCUUCCUGCCACCCGGGUCAGAGAGCAGCCCUAUCUCGGCCUAGCUAGCUAGUUGCAGGAUGACACAAGGCUGUUGGUGAUGAUGUAUGUGUUCUUCAAUGGACUUCUGUCAUUUGGAGCUUUCUUGAUGCAUGCACUACUGAGAUGGAGGUGUAUGCUUACCCUCUGGAUGAACUGACAUCAAAGGUCGGUGGAGCCUGACUCUCCCGCUGUCCCUCUUCUCCGCUUCUCUUACAUCGUGACAGUCUUCAAUGCAUGUCUGCACAAAGUGUCCAUGGAUAUCUCUGCUCUCGUGUGGAUGGCAAUUGAAUUGCAUCCUAUGCAGAAUAACUAUCGGAGUUAAAAAAAAUUUGGUGCCUAUGUUGGUGGAUGCUUCUAAGAGGAUAUAAGGGUGUCAUCAUAAUGUAGGUGCUAUGGCUAAUCUGGGAGCAUCGCAAUGCUUGCGUUUUCGACGCCAGGCAUCGCAAUGCAUAUAAGGAUGACUGGUGGCACAACGCCAGGCAUCGCAAUGCAUAUAAGGAUGACUGGUGGCACAACGCCAGGCAGCAAACCCCCAAGUUUCUGCGCAGACUCCAUCACCCUGCUCACGACAUGGCUAAUCUGGAAGCCGGCCAUCGAUGUUAUUUAUUGUCAUCAUUGUAAUGCAUAAUAUUGUUGUCUUGCAGUUCCUUCCGGUGACAUCCUCUAAGUUCACUCGCUGCUGUUUGUUUGUGGUAGGUGCAGCUGCAACCAACCAACCGUGAAGCGCAGGCAGACGCAACAAACGAUUGGACUGUUGCGGCCCUUGCCGACCGGUUCCGCCGGCACGGUUGCUGCUGCCGUUCCAUGCUGGCCGUGCAGCUGCCACGUACCAACUAUGAAGCGUCGGCAGAUGAAACAAUCGAUUGGACUGUUGCCGUGAAAUGGUACUCCCUCGCCUACCGGUUCUGUCGGCGCGGCUGCUCCUGCCGAUGAUGGCAUGUAUGUAUGUAACAGGAUAGUUUUGGGUUCAUGAUGUAAUGUGCAGUAGUAGUAACUGAAUGAAUUGUAGUACCAUCGCUUAGUCGUAAUGCUGCCGGUGAUAAGAAUUUGUAAUCUUAGUGUAGCAGUAUAUUUGUCUACUGGGAGGUGCAUCGUAGUUCUAAUAAUAAUCUUUAAAGUUUUGCAUUACUUCUGUGAUCAGACUAGCCGAAAUAUGCAUUGAAAAUGU